UACGUAGGCAGCAAGCGUUGUUCGGAGUUACUGGGCGUAAAGAGUGCGUAGGCGGUCCUGUAAGUUUGGUGUGAAAUCUCCCGGCUCAACUGGGAGGGUGCGCCGAAGACUGCAGGGCUUGAGUAUGGGAGAGGUAAGCGGAAUUCCUGGUGUAGCGGUGAAAUGCGUAGAGAUCAGGAAGAACACCGGUGGCGAAAGCGCUCUGCUGGACCUUAACUGACACUGAGGGACGAAAGCUAGGGGAGCGAAUGGG
rnacentral:rRNA from 1 species